rnacentral:lncRNA from 1 species
UACACAUGUACCAGUUUCCAAGAGCUUAACUACAGUGGACAACAGAACGCCAGAGAAAUCCUCUGUUUGGCUGGAAAGCUCCCUGAUAUUUAAAGAAAAGUCUGCAGAGGGAGUACCUGGGGAAAGCAACCUGGUUGAAUCAAGUUCUCAGAACUCACCUUCACAGGAACCUGAGAUCAGGCCACUGCAGGACUUGACCAAUGCCAGGACUGUGGCUUCCUCCAGCUUGGAAGAAGUGACAGGAUACUUACCCAGGCGGAGACGGGACCCAGCCUGCUACGCAGAGCCAAAACUCAACAGGAAACUGAGGCGGGGUGACCCGUUCACAAACACCGAGUUCCUCCGCUCCCCUCUCUACAAAACCAAAAAGAAGAAAACUGCCCAAGCCAAGGAAACGACCAAUAAGUUCGAAGAGGAAAAAGAAUGGCUUCCUGAAGGAUGUCCCCGUGCCAAGGCAGGCGAGCUAGUAACAAUGAGAAGAGACAUGGAGCCAGAAUUAAAUAGUGGUUGAACAGGCAGCCCACAAGCUUUUAGGGGCUUGAGUGUCUUUGCUAGAAUAUCUCUAAUGUUUUGCAUAGGUUAUUUUUUAUUUUAAUUUUGAAGUAUAAAUAAAGUCUCCUAUGUGGAUGUUAUACA